rnacentral:rRNA from 1 species
CUCCUACGGGGCGCAGCAGUCAGGAAUAUUGCGCAAUGGAGGAAACCCUGACGCAGUGACGCCGCGUAUAGGAAGAAGUUUUUCUGAAUGUAAACUAUUUUCGUUAGGGAAGAGAAAGGACAGUACCUAAGGAGGAAGCUCCGGCUAACUACGUGCCAGCAGCCGCGGUACUACGUAGGGAGCGAGCGUUAUCCGGAAUUAUUGGGUGUAAAGGGUGCGUAGACGGGAAAACAAGUUAGUUGUGAAAUCCCUCGGCUUAACUGAGGAACUGCAACUAAAACUAUUUUUCUUGAGUGCACGAGAGG